GCUCUUGUAGCUCAGUGGUAGAGCACCAGCCCGACAUGCUGGUUGUCCGAGGUUCGAUUCCUCGUUGGAGCA
rnacentral:tRNA from 1 species